GCUCGGCCCGGGUGCUGCCGCCGGAGCUCACGCCCGGUUGUCGGCCGGGCUGUGUGCGUGCCUUGAUGCGCACCAGUUUGACCUCCGGCGGCUGAGCGC
rnacentral:tRNA from 1 species